AUGCUUUGCUUGAGACUUCUCUUCUUAAUCCUUCAAGGCCCCAUGUUCGGCGCAGGGCUCCUGGUGCUCGGUUGCCUGCUGCAGAGGAGCGUGGUGACCACAGAGGGGCAUCGUGGGACCGACCGCCAUGUUUUCUAUGCAGUUCGUAUGGACGGAGGCAUCAGAGCUGCCAGGACUGUAGCCGUGCGGCAUGGACUGGAUUUCAUGCAGCGGGUUGGAGGCCUGAAGGGCAUAUACAACCUGAGAGACAGCAGGGGGCGCUCUGACCGAGCCACUUUUGAGCAGAGGCUCUCGACUCUACCAGGGGUUCGCUGGCUUCAGAGGCAGCACAGUCUUUACAGAGAGAAGCGGCUUCCUGUGUCAAGACCCGGCCCCGUUUUCACCGAUGGUUCCCAGAGGAGGGAGUCCGCCUCUGGCAGGAAGCCGGCGAAGAAGAACCGCGACCAGUUUCUCACCUUCAACGACCCACUCUGGCACAUGCAGUGGGAACUGUUCGCCCAGGACGAGUACGGCGCCAGCGGGGCCGACCUGAACGUGAUGCCAGUGUGGAACAACAACAUCACCGGCGAUGGAGUGGUGGUCAGCAUCAUCGACGAUGAGACCGGCUUUAAAACCCUGCUGCCUCGUCCUCUGAAGCUUCCCACUACCUGUCAGUCACUUUUCUUUACCUUCUAACAACAGCUGACUGUGGCCAGGUGUUGAAAAUGUGACUUUCUUGGUGGGGGACAAGCAGCUAAAUAUAUAAUGACAAGCUGAAAGUGAGGGUUUGUUGCUCACCCACUGCUGCCGGGACCUGCGUGUGUCUACUGCAUUUACCGAACGCACACCUCCAGCUCUCACGGACCAGUGAACACGCAGACACACGGACGCGCACGGCUUUUUAUCACGCGCUCCGCAAACUGAACCUGCUCCGACGGCGAGGUUGCCUCCCCGCUGUCUCUCCAUAAAGGGCCGUGCUGCACCAGGGGCUCUCACACUGCGAUAAACGCCGACAACAGACGAGGGAACGCGGCAGAAACAAAGGCGGCGGCGCGGACGUCACCUUGUUUGUUUGUGCGUUUGCAUCCGUCGCCGCGGUGGACAGGAGUGAGCACACUGGGUGGAGGGAAGAGCAGCGGGCACGGACAUGUGCCGGUGCGUGCUUUGUGUAUGCUGCCUGACGCUUCCACACCCACCUGAGACUGCGCGAGGAACGUGGGAGGUAGAAGUCAAUAUCAAAGAAAAUGCUCUCCCAACUUUACGGCAGUUCGUUAGCUGCUGUUGUCUCAAAGUAAAAGAAAAGCAGCAAUCCAUGUUCUCCACACCAGAAGAUGCUCACCUCUCACUUAUUAUUACAAUUUUAAAAAUAAUAAAUAUUUUUAAAUGCAUUAGUCUGGAAGCA
ensembl:lncRNA